UAGGGAAUCUUCGGCAAUGGACGAAAGUCUGACCGAGCAACGCCGCGUGAGUGAAGAAGGUUUUCGGAUCGUAAAACUCUGUUGUUAGAGAAGAACAAGGACGUUAGUAACUGAACGUCCCCUGACGGUAUCUAACCAGAAAGCCACGGCUAACUACGUGCCAGCAGCCGCGGUAAUACGUAGGUGGCAAGCGUUGUCCGGAUUUAUUGGGCGUAAAGCGAGCGCAGGCGGUUUCUUAAGUCUGAUGUGAAAGCCCCCGGCUCAACCGGGGAGGGUCAUUGGAAACUGGGAGACUUGAGUGCAGAAGAGGCGAGUGGAAUUCCAUGUGUAGCGGUGAAAUGCGUAGAUAUAUGGAGGAACACCAGUGGCGAAGGCGGCUCUCUGGUCUGUAACUGACGCUGAGGCUCGAAAGCGUGGGGAGCAAACAGG
rnacentral:rRNA from 1 species